rnacentral:rRNA from 1 species
AUGGCCCUGCUCCUCCUUCUCUCCACCCAACCUCGCCGCCGUCCAUUCACCCCAUCUCCUUCUCCCUCGCCACCUGCUUCUGCUCCUCCCUCUCGCCAUUCACCUCCGGACCUGCGCUUCCCGCUGCGCCUCCCCGUCCAGGACGGCGGCAGCAGCGGCAGCCGGCUCUGCACCUUCUCCAGCGUCGCUGGAGGCCGUGUUGUGGGAGGUACUUGCCGCGAAGGCAUCGGCGGAGACCACCGCAGCCUCGGCGGACGCGCUGCUACAGCAGCAGGACGCCACCAAAGAGCACGCGUGCCCAAGUCCCUCCGCGAGGGCGACGAGCGCGCCUACAUGCCGCAGGUGGUGUCCAUCGGCUCUCUCCACGCUGGCAAGCGGCGGCUGCAUGAGAUGGAGCGCCACAAGUGGCGCGCUGCACCACGGGCGCGUCACAUGGAUGCCGGCCAACGAGUUCGCCCAGUGCCUAGUGCUGGACGGGACCUUCGUGCUGGAGCCGUUCCGCGGCGCGCUGGACGGCGCCAAGGGGUUCGUGGACGACCUGGGUUAUUCGCGGCAGACCUGCUGCUCGGGAUCCAGCUGGGCCACCCGGAGCAGACGGGGGCCGUGCCAGCCUCGCCGUGCGGUUCUUCGAACCGCCGAUGCCGAUGGGCACGCCGCUGCACCAGAAUGACCGAAGGGCGCGAAGGACGGAGGAGGCCGCCGGCGAGCGGAGCCAGGGGACGUGGAGACGCGGAGGCGCGGAGCCGGCCCGGAGCUCCUUCAUCCUGCCGUCCCUGUGCGCGGCGAGGCGAGGGCGGCGGCAUGCCGAGCGCAGCGAGGUGA